AAUCUUGUAUCGUUUCCAGAAGAAGGUUUUCCUACCAAUCUAACAUCACUUACAAUUGGAUAUUUCAAAAUGUAUAAGACACUCGUCCAGUGGGGGUUGCACAGGCUUACCUCUCUUAGAGACCUCUGGAUCGUUGAAUGUGAUGAUGAAGCAGAGUGUUUUCCAGACGAGGAGAUAGGAAUGACGCUGCCUGCCUCUCUCACUCAUCUGCAUCUUGAUGGAUUCCAAAAUUUGAUAUCUCUGUCUUCGACGGGUUUUCAGAGCCUAACCUCUCUUCAAUCUUUGUGGAUCUGGGAUUGCCCAAAUCUCACAUCAUUUCCAGAGGUGGGCCUUCCAUCCUCACUUUUGGAAUUACACAUUAGAGAUUGUCCAAAGCUUAAAAAAGCGUGCAAAAGGGAUCAAGGAAAAGAGUUGCCCAAAAUUGCUCACAUCCCUUGCGUUGAGAUAGACGGUAAAUUCAUAUACGAUCCAGAAUCAGAGGAGUAGAUUCUAUUACAAAGGUCAGUUGAUUUGUAUUAUCCGCUAUAACAAGCUCCUCCUAAUUUUUUUUUUCUAAGUAAUAAUUUUGCAGUCACUCACGUGAUUCCGUUUUCACAAGUCAGAUUGUAUGUUGAGGCUAUUUGCCUUUUAAUCGCAGAUUAAAUUAUAACACUUAUCUUAAAAUUUAAUACCAUACACAGAUAGACGAUUUUUUUAUCCAAAGUUUCAAUCAAGAAUUGGAGGAUGUGAAUGGGAUUUUUGUGAAAACAUAAUGGAUGAACGAACAUUUCAUCUGUGAUCUCAAAGUCAACAGAAUUUUAUUUACUCGUUGACUUUUCAACUCCUUGGUUGUUGCUGGGUGAAAGAUAAGGGCAAUUACAAGAUAUUUGCAAACUUUGUCAAUUUCUUAGAUGGUAGAUAUAUCGACAUUUUAGAUUUCAGAUAUUUUGAUGCUUUUUUAAUUUUGAUCUAGUAGAAAUACAUAGCCUUCACCGACAGGAAUUGAAAUUGAAAUUUUUGUCUUCAAUGGGUUUUCAAAGCCUCGCCUCUCUUCGAUUUUUGUGGAUCGGGAAUUGCACAAAUCUCACAUCAUUUCCCGAGGUCGAGGAAAAGAGCGGCCCAAACUUGCUCGCAUCCCUUGGGUUAAUAGAUUCUCUUAUUAAGGUCAGCUGAUUUCUAUUAUCCACUCUGACAAUCUCCUAUUAGUGUUUUUCCUUUUGAAAUUUUUUUUCUAAAAUUUUGCAGUUCCGUAUAAUUGAAAAUGCCACUCACUUGUUUCCUAUUAGUAUGUUGAGGCUAUUUGCUUCCUAUUAGUGUUUGUUAAGGUAAUUAGUGCUCCCUCGUCGGUAUGACUGGAUUUUUUUCACUUCCGUAAAUAUUGCAUUUUAGACUGGCAAAUUUAGCAGUAAUUUUAAUUUGAUACUCUGAUUAAGAAGCCUGAUUAUAGUAGCUGACUUUUUUUGUGUGGUUUGCUGUUGUUUAUUCUUUCGAUUAAUUUCAACAUUAGGUUGAUCUGUUGAAGAACAAACUUGGGUUUGAUUAUGCUUUAACUACAAGGAAGAGCCAGACUUGGAUGCAGGCGUUCGGCUUUUAAUGGGUAAGAACAAAUGUAUGCUUUAACCAUGUUUCUCACUUAUUACAAUGCACGCAUUGAAGGCAUCUGAGCUGAUCCUGAAAAUGUGGUGGAAAUACUUCUCUGUUUACAUAAAAUAGACAAAUAGAGAUCUCUGAUCAUGCCUGAGAAUUCGUUGCAUUUCAAAUUUCUACCAUUGCCAAAAAUAGAAUAAACUAGGGAUACAUUAGCUUAAGACUCAAUUUUGAGAAGGAAGUUUGCACAUGCAGCCUAAAAAAUCAUGUCCGUGUUGUAUACUUGUAUGUUUCUUUGGGAAAUGAAAGAUUCUGUAUGUUCUUUUAUUUCAAGUUUGCUGAAAUCACAUUUGUUUUCGUAGAUGCUUUUGGGAAGGUAACAAGAUCAAUUUCAUAAAUGCUGGGGUAAGAUGCAUCACGCAGUGCUACUCAACAUGAGAAUUCCCGGCCGCAUUAACUGUAUGUUGAGUGAUCGCACAGUACAACCUUUAGAAGCUUGUAAGGAGUAGACAACUAGAUGCGAAUAGUUUCAAUAUGGAUUCACAUCAAAUGAUCUCUUGCCAGUGAUUACUAUAACCUCUAUCCCAAAAUUCUUGGAACUGGUCAUACCAAUAAUGAAGUAUUGUGUAUGUUGAAGACAUAGCUCAAGGCCUUGCGAAAGCUCCGUCAGCCUUUGUAUUGGAAAACAAUUGGUUGUAGUUGCUUCUGAAUGAUAUUAUUAAUAGACACUGUAAAAAUGAAGUGUGCCACUCAUUUUCAGAGCCCUGUUAAGAUGUGUUGGUAAUGUGUUUGAAGGUUGUUUGAUUUAUGUUGUAUUCAGCUAUAAAUCAAAGAUUCAGAACAUGGGUAUGUUACUGGUUUCCAAAUCAAAAAAUUGCCUUGUGAUGUUAGUGUUCAUUGUUUUCACAGGAGAUCAGGUUCCCUGUUGAUGAAUCAAGAAGGCAAACGCAUCCAUGUCUUAAGUUCAAAUGUGUCUCUUCUAUUUUCUAUUACUGACUCCUUUAUUUUGAUUUCUUCAUUGUAAUGGAAUUGGUUUUUUAUUCCAAAUUAGUCAAAACCUCCUAGAGUCAUUAAGUUCUGUUAGCAUUUGAAGAUAGAACUAGAACUAAAUGAUUGACUGGAUUAAAUUCCGAUAAAGAAUUAAGUUAUAUAUUUAGAGAUAUUAUGUUUUUUUUUUCAUUUGUUCAAUUUGGUUAGUGGUGAUUUCUUAAAGACUCAAUCCAUGUGCGUUUAUGCAUUUUUAUUUUGCCUUAAUUUCUGUUUCUAAAGUCUUCAACAGCAUUUUCUUUUUAACCUUUAUCCUCAUGGUUGUUUUUGCAGUUGUUCUUUAAGAAAACAUUUAAAAGGUUCUCUUUAUGGAUUUUUGAAAAUAAUUUUAACAUAAGCAAUUUUCAGAAGCACUUUAGAUGUCUGGCAUUUAGAAAAUUUUAUUCCGGUGUCACAUAAAAUACUUAGGAAGUUAAAUUUAUUUAUUUAUGAGCAUGUGCCAGUGCCCAGUGGCAUCCUCUUCACUUGUGAUAGUCAAAUAUAUUAUACGAUACAAUGUUAGCUUGACUGUAGCACAGAGGAGAAUAGGGUUGGUGUUGGUCUGAACCAGCUUAUGUAACAGCUGCCAAAGGAUAAUUUAAUUGUACUUUGAGUAAAGCUUUUGCGAAUUAAACAAGUGAUAAUUUGUUUCUAUUAAGAAAAACUUAAAGGAUAGGGCUAUUUUAACUCACCAAACUACACAUUAAAAAUCCACUUACAAAAAUAGUUUUUAAUUAUUAAAAUAUUCCUAAAUCAAAUUAUAAUUAUAGACACUAAAAUAUUUUUUUUUUAUAUUUUACCCUUUGAAACUGUCUUUAUAUUCGAUAUUAUAUUUUUUUCUUAAACUCUAAAUUGAUAUUUUUUUUUCAUUUUUGAUUAAUUUUAAAACACAUAUAAAGUUAUUCAUAUUGAUUUUAUACUAACAACUAUUAUAGCACAUUCGAAAAAUAAUUAAAUCGUUCUUAUUUACAUAGUGAAAAUGCAAAUAGCUCAUUCAAAUGUUAAGGAAUUGGAGAGCUGCUGCUGGAGACGAAAGAUGUGAAUUAAACAUCAGAAAAAAAAUUAUGUUCACUAUCUUGCCAGACCAAGCACCGAAAAGCGUCGUAAAGAAAAAUUAGAUAAUUUAGAAGAUAAAGCACGUGGAAUGGAGGCAGAAAGCAAGUAAUGAUAACUCUUUCGACAAACUAAUAUAUAUCAAAAUGCAAUAUCGGCCCUAAUAAAAAAUGAAAAUAAAAAUUCAUUACGAAUACGUGUUAAAGAUAUCCCAAGUAUUAAUGUGACUGAAAUAUUUGAGAUUGAAGAAGAAUUAGGACUCAAAAUCAAUUGGGAGGAAUAAAUGAGAAACCCCAAUACCAAAAAAUACACGCACAAAUCCUAAUACUAAUUGUAAUCACGGAUAAAAAGCAUAAUACAAAUAAAUUACAUGGGCAACUAUUCCAUUGAGAAAUUAAUUAAAUCGUGUAUUAAUAUUUUGUAUACAUAUAUUUUUCUAUAUAUAACUUUUGGUAAUUUAAUUUUCCACUAAUCAUUUUUACUCCAAAAAAUAAUUGAGAAUAUUAUUUAUGUUUUGGUACAAAAUAUUUGAACAAUAUACAAAUUUUCAGUUUAAUAAAUCUAAACAUCUAUUAAGUUAUAAAUGAAUUUAAUGGGUUUAAUUAAUAAAAUUACCAUUAUUAUAUAAAUUGGGUUUAGUAAUGGUAUAUUGGGUGGGUUUGUUGAGUAAAUUUUAAAAUUUAAAGAUGGGUUUAUUUAGUAAAUGAGUUAAGGGAAUAGUUUGUUGGGAUUCACGUAGCCCCACCAAAUUCAAAAGUAAAAUUUUUGAAAAAAAAAAAGCUAUUGAGUUAUUCUUUUAAAAAAAGAAUUAAAAUGUCAAGAAUACCUUUAUUUAAUUUUAUAAUCUUAUUUUAUAGUCAUAUUUUAUUUCCACCUUAACAUAAUUUUAAAAACCUUAACUAAUAAAUUCUAUAUUUUUUUUUAUAAAAGUUAUCAUUAAUAUCCAAACGGCUAAAGAUUUUUUUUUUAAAAAAAAAAAGGAACUAUGCUUACAAAAGUUGUAUACAUUAACAAUAAAUUUAGUCCAAAGAAUAAAGUUAUUCCAAACAAGCACUCCAAUUCAUCUUGCUAAUGAAUCAAGAUGACUGAAUCCUUCUCUAAGCCAAAUCUAUUUUCACUUUUAGGUCAGAAAUUGUCAUUAAAAAAGUGUUUGAUAAAACACGCUCUGGGAACGCUAUUCGUCAUAUGGUUACUCCAAUUUUAUGAAAUCAAUGGGAUUUCAUCAUAUUUAUAACAUUCUUCUUUAAUGUCUAUUCUAACAAAGAAAUCAUAUACAGAGAAAAGGUUUCGUUAAAACUUUUACUAGAAAAACUAACCACAAUUCAUCAUUCAUUUAUAUCUUAAGUAAGCGUAAGAUUUUAUCAUUAAAAUCCCAUCAUGAAAAAACUCAUGGGAGAAAAACUAUAAAAAUUGAAGAAAAAAGAGUAUGGCGUGCAUGUAAAUUAUAUCGAUUUUAUCUAUAUGACAAAUAAGACUCUCUUUUACAAUGGCACGGAUGCUUCAUUGAGUAAUCAUGAUUCUUGCUGGUAGUGCUUUGUUGUAUCAAUCUGCUAGCUAUUCAGCUUUCUUUCUUUCUUUCUUCUUUUUAUUUUUUUGUUUUCAAAUAGCUUGUGGUUGUAGAAAUAUUUCAAUUAAACUAUACUUAAGUACUUAUUUGGUAUAACUUCUUUACUAGCUAAAAGAAUUUUUUUUUUUUUUGGUUUUUUAUAAUUUAAUUAUACUUUAACUAGAGUUUUUGGGAUAAAACAAGUGAUAAUUUCUCUCUAUUAAGAAAAACUCAAAGGGUAGGGUUAUCUCAAUCCACCAAACUAUUUAUGAAAAAUCCACUUAUGAAAAUAGUUUUUAAUUAUUAGAAUGCCUCUAAAUUAAAUUACAAUUAUGGACACUAAAAUAUAGUAAAUUUUUUUUUUAUUUUUUAAAACCGUCUUUACGUUCGGUAUUAUAUCUUUUUCUUAAAAUCUAAAUUGAUAUUUUUUUUAUUUUUGAUUAAUCUCAGAACACGUAUAAAGUGAUUCAUAUUGGUUUUAUACUAACAAACUAUCAUAGCACAUUCGAAAAUAAUUAACUCGUUCUUAUUUGCAUAUGAAAAGGCAAAUAGCUCAUCCAAAUGUUAAAGAAUUGGAGAGCCGCUGCUGGAGAUGAAAGAUGUGAAAAGCAUGGUAAAGAAAAAUUACAUAAUUCUCACUUAGAAGAGGGAGAAAAAAAAAAUACAAUUAGAAUGAGAGGUAGGCAGUAGCCAGUAGCCAGUAGCCACCAUCACCAGUGAAACUAUUUCACAUAAUAGAAGAUAAAGCACGUGUAAAUGGAGGCAAAAAGCAAGUAAUGAUAACUCUUUUCGACACACUAAUACAUAUCAAAAUGCAAUAUCGGUCCUAACAAAAUGAAAAUAAAAAAUUCAUUACGAAUAUGUGUCGAAAUAAGACUCAAAAUCAAUUGAGAGGAAUAAAUGAGAAACUGUAAUACUAAUAAAAUACAUUCACAAAUCCUAAUGCUAAUUAAAAUCACGGAUUAAAAAAAAUAAUAUGAAUAAAUUACAGGCGCAACUGUUUCAUUAAGAAAUUAAUUCAAUCGUGUAUUAAUAUUUUGUACACAUACAUUUUCCAUAUAUAACUUUUGGUAAUUUAGUUUUCCACUUAUCAUUUUUACUCCAAAAAAAUAAUUGAGAAUAUUAUUUAUGUUUUGAUGCAAAAUAUUUAAACAACGUACAAAUUUUCAGUUUAAUAAAUCUAAACAUUUCUCAAGUUAUAAAUGAAUUUAAUGGGUUUAAUUAGUAAAAAUACUAUUAUUUUAUAAAUUGGGUUUAGUAAUGGUUAUUGGGUAUUUAAAUGGGUUUGUUGAGUAAAUUUUAAAAUUUUAAAGUUCAAGGGUGGGUUUAUUUAGUAAAUGGGUUAAGGCAGCAAUUUUCCAAACUACAAUUUUUGGAAAAAGAGGCUAUUGAGUGUUUUUUUUUUUUAAAAAGAAUUAAAAUGUUGAGAAUACCUUUAUUAAUUUUAUAAUCUUAUUUUAAAAAAUUUACCCAAUAAAUUUUAUAAUUUUUUAUAAAAAUUAUCAUUAACAUCCAAACAGCUAAAGAUUUAAAAAAAAAAAAGAAGAAGGGAACUGUACUAGCAAAAGUUAGAUUAACAAUAAAUUUAGUCCAAAGAAUAAAGUUAUAGCUAAAAAGUGCUCCUAUCCUACUUUUCUGUAUUUUAACAAUAAUCUUCCAAUCCGUUUUACAAUGGACUUUAACAAAUGGGCUCAAUCUCUAAACUUCAUUUUCUUUUGCUUACCCAUGGCCAUUAGCCAGAAAGCCUAAAACAAUUUUAGGAUCACAUGUGUAAAUGGAACUCCAAGAUUGAUCAAGAAUUAACAAGACAAGAUGAAGAGAUGAUCUUGUAACUAAGAAUGAAGAAAUUGAAUCAAGACAGUACUCUAGUAAAACCCAGAAAACAGAGCUUGAAGAAUCACGCACAAAGCAGUAAAUUUGUAAAACCAGAAUUGGAGCUUCACUUCUCAAGAGAGACGAAACAGGAUACAAUCUAGCUUUGGUCAACUUCGUUUGGCCACGUCAUAAAGUCUUCCCCCACAGUCUUUCCCGCCAAAACAGAAAAGCUUUAAAAGCCAUUUACCUUCCUGAGUUACUUGCUCCUAUUACAUCAAGGCCCUGUAAGUCUAUAUUUAUUAUUACAAAAGCACCCUUAAACUGAGAUUUGAAGCAUACUUCAACAAUGUUGAAGCGCAUGAUUUCACGGCUAUGUUGCAUCGUCAAUUUUAGUGCUUUACAGUUAAGGGAUAGUUUAAAUUCAUUACAAAGCAUUCGCAAAGAAAUUGUUUUUAAAUGAAACUCCUCGUCUUGACCAGAUUAUUUAUUAUUAUUAAAAAAAAAAUGUUCAAAACUUAGCCAAAGUGAUAAACUCGUAAUUUUUCUACAAAGGGAACAAUUUUGAAAGGUCGGAAAUUCCAUAAUUAUGGUUUUCGGUGAAUUAUUUUAAAUAAAAUUAUAAAAACCAAUAUAAAAUUAUUACCCAGUAAAGACUUUAGAGAGACAAGUGCCCCCAAGAGGAUCUAAGUGAAUAUGCCCCACAAAGAUCACAUGAUCAUUUCUUGUUCUUUUUCUUUUUGACAAUUUUAUCUGUGGUUUCAACUUUUAUGCUUUAUUGUCGUAUCCCGUUGAGGGCUCCGCUGCACCCGUUACAACUUACCCCUAAAUUGCCUCUUACUAACUAAACCGUUAGAGUUUAUGGAAGCGCGUUCAAUGCUGAAUUUUAAUUAUGUCAUCAAAUUUCGUUCAGCUCCUUUAACUCCAUUUUAUUUGUAAUUUCUUCAUAAAAUAGUCAAAGCUUCAUCAAGCUCCUAAUGGACCAUCAUGGCUAGGGGUGCAUUAGAGCCGAACUGAAAUAUGUUAGUUUAGUUCAGUUUGGUCAGUUUAAAUCGAAUGGUUUAGAACAUAUAAACUGAUCAAUUUUAAUUUUGAAUUGAACCGAACCGAAAAUCAAUUGGUUCACUAUUAGUAUUUUUGUAUAAACACGAAUGAUUAGUGAUUAUAAUUAAAUUGGACUAAAAAAAUUCAAAACUAAGGUUAAAAAAAAUUCAAACUAAGGUGGAAAAAAUAAAAUCUUAGACAAUAUAAAAGAAAAAAUAUUAAAAAAUUUUAACCGAAACGAACUGAAUUAUUUUGACUCAGUUUGGUUCAUAUUUGGUUCAAAAUUUUUUAAACCAAACUAAUUUAUUCCCACCCCCUAAUCGUGGCCCUCUAUCUUUAGUCAUUCACCCUUGAGUUUGAUACCAAUUGUUGGGUUUCAAAUGAUUAUACACUCAAAUGGAACCCUCAUAACAAAAAAACUAACAGAAACAAUAAGAACACGAUGUUAAACUCUUAAAUCAAUUGCAAAAAAGCACCCAAAACAGAUCAAUUAGGAAUAGUUAACAACAAAAGAUUUGAUGGUUCAAAAUCAUAAUGUGACCUACUUCCAUCCAAGAAUCAUACUAAUUGCUUUACUAGUUGUCAAAUACAUGAUCACAAGAUUAUUUAUCACUCUAUAGAGAAAAACUUUUUAGAAUAAAUACUCCCCAAUUUUUCUCUUAAUAGUUAUGAAUCAACACCCCUAGAAAGGCUAUUGAUUUACUUUUCCUUAUUUCCUAUGAUCGGUUGCUGCAACUUAAUCCUUGCCAAGCUCCAACAUAGUCCAAACACUGUUCAUGGUGCAUGCAUAGUGCACCUUCAGAAACUUUACAGCUCUUCUUAAAACCUCAGGCCUAUAGAGUGCAAUUUCCCACCUAUAUGCUUAGUCCUCUCAGUUCUCGUGAUGUUUCUGAUUUAUUUAUCGGACGAGUAACACUUUUAGCUGUCAUAAUACAAUGUAAUUGACUUCUGAGCAUGACUUAAUUUUGAGAUCAUUACUUUUAGUUAAAUGAUCUCCAGAGCUUCUACCUAUGUUGUGUUUUUAGACCUCUAUAGUUGAUAAAGCAUGUUCAAGGUGAAGGCUUGUUUUCCAAUCUAUAGUCCAAUUAUAGACUGGAAAUGGUCAGGCUUAAUGCACCUUCAAAAGCUUCACAAUUUGUAUUGAAACCUUAAGCCUUAGAAUGCUACAAAUUUUAAAUCCAUAUACUUAGUGCUCUUAUGAUUUGUUUGAUUUUUUCUUAGAUGAGGAGCAUUUUAGCUAUAGAAUACAUUGUAACUAAUUCAAAGCAAGCCUUAGCUACGAGAUCAUUCAUUCUAGCCAAAUGCCCCCUUUAGAGAUUCUACUAUUGUUGAGUAUUCAGCCUCUAUAUUUGGCAAAGCAAUUACAUGUCGAAGGCUUGCUUGCUUUCCAGUUAACAGCGCAAUUACAUAGAUUAAAGGUGUAACCAGGCAAAGAACUUAGUUAUUCUGCCAAGGUCUCCAACAUACUCCAAAUCCAUAUAACCACCAAACUUCAAUCUUUAGACUCCAUAGAUCAAACCAUAACUUAGUGUGCCUUUCAAUCUCAGGUAACAUUUUACUGUUUUCCACGUCUUGCCAUGUACUUGCUGCGAACACUAACAAUUUGAGAAAUGUUAGGCAUCGUAAGCAGCCGACAACACUCUUCUUCAUUUCUUCAUUGUCAAUUUCCUUCUUGGAACAUUGCUCCAUUGACAAUUUACUGGAAGUAAAUUUCAAUGACAAUUUACUGGAAGUAAAUUUCCUAUGACCCUACAGGUGACUAAUUAACGAGAACUUGACAAUGACAAAAGAAAGUGUAUGAGCUUUGCAGGCUGGCAUGCCAAUAUUGACUGUAUGGUGGAGUCCACUGGGACCACAUCACAUGGUCAGUCUUAUCUCUAUUCCUCAAUUUUCAGUAUUCCAUACAUCAAACCAAUUUCAGUUUUGUUAUCAAUUAUAAUUUCAUUGUUGGUGACGAUUCUGAUUCCUUUCUUUCUGACAAAACGGAACCAUGGUUGCUGUGGGAGAGAUCUUACUCAACGCCUUCUUUCAGGUGUUGUUCGACAGGUUGGCUUCCCGCGAUUUGCUCAGCUUUGUCCGUCAACUUGGAGGCGGGGUCGAUUCCGAGCUCAAGAAGUGGCAAAGAAAGCUGAAGAUGAUUCAGGCGGUGCUCAACGAUGCGGAGGAGAAGCAACUGACUGACGAGGCUGUGAAGAUGUGGCUGGACGAUCUCCAAGACUUGGCUUAUGACGCUGAGGACAUUCUUGAUGAGUUUGCUACUCAAGCUUUGGAAAGCAAGUUGAUGGCGCAAAAUCAGGAUAGCUCUGGCCAGCUUCUCAGUUUCAUCCCGGCUAGUUUGAAUCCGAAUGCUGUUAGGUUCAAUUAUAGCAUGAGGUCCAAGAUUAACGAUAUUACUAGCCGGUUGGAGCAACUCUGCAAAGAAAGAAUCGAACUUGGACUGCAACGGAUUCCUGAAGGGGCAUCAUCAACUGCUGCUGCUGCACAUCAGAGGCCACCCAGUUCAAGCGUCCCACCAGAACGUGAAGUAUUUGGAAGAGAAGAAGAUAAGGCCAAAAUUCUUGAUAUGGUAUUGGCCGAUAGCCCAAGUGAUCAUGCCAACUUUGCUGUAAUACCCAUUGUUGGCAUGGGCGGGAUAGGAAAAACAACUCUCGCUCGGGAGGUCUACAAUGACAAGGCCGUUGGAGAUUCCAAGUUUGAUGUAAAAGCAUGGGUUUGCGUAUCUGACGUCUUUGAUGUUUUGGGCAUCUCAAAGGCACUUCUCGAGUCAAUCACCCGCAGGCCUUGUCUUCUAAACAGUUUAAAUGAAGUGCAGGUUGAAUUGAAAGUAGCUGUGGACGGAAAAAGAUUCUUGUUGGUCUUAGAUGAUGUUUGGAACGAGGACUACAGCUCGUGGGUAGACUUAAAAGCUCCAUUCUUGGCAGCUGCACCAAACAGUAAGAUGAUCGUCACCACACGCAAUUCAAAUGUUGCAUCAAUAAUGGGACCAAUUGAACAUUAUAAUCUCAAGAGACUGUUAGACGAUGAUUGCUGGUCUAUUUUCAAAACGCAUGCAUUGGAGGGUAGAGAUCAUAAUGCACUUGAAAUCUCAGAAUCAUUCCGCAAGAAAGUUGUUGGCAAAUGUGGAGGCUUGCCCCUUGCUGCAAAAACACUCGGAGGCCUUUUGCGUACGACGAGGCAUGAUGCGUGGGAUGAUAUAUUAGAGAGCAAAAUAUGGGAUUUACCUCAACAAAGUGGGGUUCUCCCAGUAUUAAGAUUGAGUUACCAUCAUCUUCCUUCUCAUUUGAAAAGAUGUUUCGCUUACUGUGCAAUCUUUCCAAAAGAUUAUGAAUUCAAUGAGAAGGAGGUGACUUUUUUAUGGAUGGCCGGAGGAAUUAUUCGACAGUCAAGAAGCAAAGAGCGGCUAGAAGAUUGGGGUAGCAAGUGCUUCUAUGAUCUGGUGUCAAGGUCAAUUUUUCAGCAAACAGCAAUCUCUGAUAGUUCUAAAUAUGUAAUGCAUGACCUUAUUCAUGAUCUUGCUGAAUUGGUCUCUGGAGGGACCAUUUUUAGGUUAGAGAAGUCCCCCAACUUGUCGUCAAGGGGAUUUGAAAGAGCUCGCCAUUCUUCCUACGCCAGUGAUUGGUGUGAUGGUAGAAAUAAGUUUGAGGUUUUCUAUGCAAUUGAACAUCUACGAACAUUCUUGCCAUUACGCAUAAGAGGUGGCACUAAUACUAGUUACAUAACUAGAACGGUUCUAUCUGAUUUGCUGCCAAAGUUCGAAAAAUUGAGGAUGCUAUCUUUACAAGGAUACUGUAUUGGUGAGUUACCGAUUCCAUUUGAAGAUCUCAGACUUUUAAGGUUCCUCAACCUUGCUGACACUGACAUAAGAAGUUUACCCGAGUCAACAUGCAAAUUGCUGAACUUGGAAAUUUUGAUAUUAAGAAAUUGUUCCCGCUUGAUAAAGCUUCCACCCAAAAUGAGGAAUUUGAUCAAUUUACGCCAUCUCGAUAUAAGAGGUGCGACGUUGCUGAAGGAGAUGCCAUUCGGAAUGAAAGAGCUGAAGAAGCUUCAAAUAUUGUACAAUUUCAUUGUGGGCAAGGGUGAAACCGCAUGCGGUUUGGAAGAAUUAAAAAGUUUAAACUUUCUUUGUGAUGAACUUUGCAUUGCUGGAUUAGAGAAUGUGAAUAAUCCACAGAAUGCAAGAGAAGCCGCAUUAUGCGAGAAGCACAAUCUUGAAGCACUGACUCUAGAUUGGGGGUCUCAAUUUGACAAUUCUCGAGAUGCAGUAGUAGAAGAGCAUGUACUGGAAAUUCUACAGCCUCAUAAACGUAUAAAAAAAGUGGCAAUCAGGAACUAUAGAGGUGCAAGAUUUCCACAUUGGGUAGGAGAUCCUUUGUUCUCCAAAAUAGAGUUCCUUGAAUUGGAGAACUGUGACAAUUGUGUAUCUUUGCCAUCGCUUGGCCGUUUGAGUUCACUUAAACACCUUGCUGUUAAAGGGCUGAAGAAACUAAAAAGCAUAGAGUCUGAGGUUUAUGGGGAGGGUUUCUCAACGCCUUUUCCAUCAUUGGAGGUUCUAAGUUUCGAGAAUUUGCCAGAAUGGGAGCAUUGGGACACGGAUAUCAAAGGAAAUGUGCUCGUUGAAAUGUUUCCUCGUCUCCAUAAACUUUCCAUUGUGGAAUGUCCCAAACUCUCUGGGGAACUGCCUGAGCUCCUGCCCUCCUUGGAGACACUUGUUGUUAGUAAAUGUGAAAAGUUGGUAGUUCCAUUGUCUCGCUAUCCGAUGCUCUGCAGAUUAGAAGUUGAUGAGUGCAAGGAACUAGCGUGCGGUCGUCCAAUUGAUUCUAAGUUGAUAGAGUCCAUGACUAUUUCAAAUAGUUCAUUAGACGUGAAUGGACGCAAGGGGAUGCUAUAUGAUGGUCCAGCUGGCUCUUCACUGCCAAAGCCCAUGACUACUACAAAUGUUUUGGAGUUUGGAAAAUUAUUGAAGCCCAUGAUUGCUACAAAUGCUUUGGUAAUUGGCAAUUCUGAACAGCUCAAGUCAUGGAGUUUUUUUAUUGAACCAGGGCUACAUUUGCUCGCUCACAAUGAGGAGGUAUCAAUUGAAGAAAGUUGCGUACGUCUUGUUUCGGUUCCAGAGAUCAAUUUCUUUCCCAGAAAUCUGCGCUCUCUUCGAAUUUGCAACAGCACAGCUUUGAAAUCCUUACCCGAGGAAAUGAUGGAAAACAAUUCACAACUGGAAAGGUUGUAUAUCAGAGAUUGCGACUCUCUAACAUUCAUCGCAAGACGGAGGCUACCAGCAUCUCUUAAAAGGCUCGAGAUAGAAAAUUGUGAGAAAUUGCAACGUCUGUUCGAUGAUGAAGAGGAUGCUUCUUCUUCUUCUUCUCCUGCAUCCUCGUCUUCCCCAGUGAUGCUGCAACACCUGAGUAUAGAGAACUGCCCAGAGCUCACCAGUUUAUCAUCGGGUGUCCAAUUCCUUGAGGCGCUUGAAGACCUCGAGAUACAGCAUUGUCGAAAGCUGGAGUCAAUACCGGAUGGCCUGCCCAAUCUUAAAUGUUUACAGAGCAUUUAUAUACGGGAUUGUCCAAGUCUUGUUUCCUUCCCAGAAAGAGGGCUUCCCAACGCCAUUUCAAGUUUUGACAUUUCCAGAUGUGACAAGCUCGAAGCCUUGCCCAAUGAUUUGCACAAACUCAACUCUCUUCGAGGGUUAAGCAUUCUGCGGUGUCCAAAUCUUGUAUCGUUUCCAGAAGAAGGUUUUCCUACCAAUCUAACAUCACUUACAAUUGGAUAUUUCAAAAUGUAUAAGACACUCGUCCAGUGGGGGUUGCACAGGCUUACCUCUCUUCGAGACCUCUGGAUCAUUGGAUGUGAUGAUGAAGCAGAGUGUUUUCCAGACGAGGCGAUAGGAAUGACGCUGCCCACCUCUCUCACU
rnacentral:lncRNA from 1 species